UUGGACUAAGUGGAUUUAGAUGUUGAUUAACCAGUAUUUAAUUUCUAUAAUAAUAGUAGGUUAAUUAGGAUUAGACUUAGGAUCGGUGAUUAAUUAGGAUUAAUCUUAGGAAUGGUAUGUAGUCAUUAGAAAUAAUUAGGAUAAUUGUUGGUUGUUUUUUUAGAAUAUUUUUGUUCAUUGUUUAGAUUUAAUUUGAUUGUGAUAAUUGUGUUUA
rnacentral:lncRNA from 1 species